CAGACAUGAGAAAUAUCUCGGUAUUCCUAUUGUUGUAGAUGGAUCAAAAAAGGCAGUAUUUGAAGCCCUUCUUGAUAGAGGGUAAAACACUAGUUGAAUAAACUAUAUAGGCAGCCCCAAAGGCAUCGAUUAUUGAAUUCCUCUUCUAAAAACACCCAUAAAAAAACAAAAAUAAGCAAAUGGCAAGCGGUUUUAGGUGAACCGCUUGAAAAAAUGCAAAUGACAAGCGGUUUGAACAUUGAACCGCUUCCCAUUUGCUAAAAAACCCUAAAAAUUAAAACUUAUCUCAUUUAUCACGCUCUCUCUCUCCUCUAAGCCUCAUUUCUCACACAUUCUCUCCUCUCACGCCUCAUUCUCUCUCUUCUCUCUCCUCUCUCCUCUCCCUUCCAUUUCUCACGCCUCACUUCUCUCCUCUCAUUCUUUCUUCUUUAUCAUUUCUUCAUUAUCAUUUUUUCACAUCUCAUUCUUUCUUCAUUUUUUCUUCAUUGUCAUUUCUCACGCCUCAUUCUUUCUUUAUUUUUUCUCCAUACUCCAAAAUCCAUUUUUUCUCCAUACAACAACAACAACAAGGUUUCGGGUUCGACUACGCAUAUUUGGAGUUCAAUAUUGUGGGUCUGGGUUCAGAUUUUUAGGUUUCAAUUUUAAUUUUUAUUUUGAUUUCGAUUUUGUGGGUUUCAAUUUUAAUUUUGUGGGUUGUUAUUUCGAUUUUGUGGGUUUCGAUUUCGAUUUUGUGGGUUCCAAUUUUAAUUUUGUGGGUUCCGAUUUCGAUUUUGUGUAUUUCAAUUUCGAUUUUGUGGGUUUCGAUUUUAAUUUUAUAAAGUUCGAUUUGUGGGUUUCAAAAUCUAACAAACACUAGCAGGUGGUGGUGCGUGUGGGUUUUCAUGUUUUUUAGGUCAAAUUCAACCUUUAAAACUCAAAUUUCAAGCCAAUUUUUGAGGUUUUGGUGGAAUUCAAGGCAUAUCUGGUUUUGGUUGGGGUUUUGGUGGGGUCGUGGUGGGUAAGAUGGGUUUAUUUUUGUUUUUGAAGGUGGGUUGAAGGAGGUUGGUGGUGGUGGUGAUACAAUUGGCGCUCGCGGCUAGUGGUGCGCAUGGCUGGUGGUGGAAUUGAAACAAGAGCAGCAACCAAUUUAUCAAUUUAUUUACUGUUUUUUUUUUUUUUUUUGAUGAAAAUCAGAAAAUGUAAUAUUAAAACAAGUGAUUAAUGAAAAUAUUUAUGUUUAUACA